CGGGGUGCCUUUCUUGAGCGUGUCCAUCUUUCUGGGGGUCUGGUCUGGUUGGGCCGGAUCUGGGGACCGUGUGUGUCCAGGUGUCUGAAUCCAGGGCUCAGCUCUGGCCCGUCUGGCCCAGCGUGGAUCUUGAAUGUGUGUGUGUCAUUGUGCCAGUGUCUGUGUCCCCGACGCACCUAUAAAUAGCCUCUGUCUGGACAGCUUGGUUCAGUCUGGCUGAGACCAUGGUUACAAAGGAGUCAAAGUUUGGGGCUGUUUGUGUUUGGGACUGCCUGGCCCUAAAUAAGGGAUCAGUGGACCA
rnacentral:lncRNA from 1 species